GUUGAUGCAGAGACCGUGGUGGGCCUGGCCCGGGACCUGGAACCACUGAAGCGGACAGAGGAAGAGCCACUGGAAGAGCCACUGGAUGAGGCCCUAGUGCGGACAGUCGCCCUAAGCAGUGCAGGUGUCUUGAGCCCUAUGGUGGCCAUGCUGGGUGCAGUAGCUGCCCAGGAAGUGCUGAAGGCAAUCUCCAGGAAGUUCAUGCCUCUGGACCAGUGGCUUUACUUUGAUGCCCUCGAUUGUCUUCCGGAAGAUGGGGAGCUCCUUCCCAGUCCUGAGGACUGUGCCCCGAGAGGCAGCCGCUAUGAUGGGCAAAUUGCAGUGUUUGGGGCUGGUUUUCAGGAGAAACUGAGACGCCAGCACUACCUCCUGGUGAGCUGUGGGGUGACACUGGGGGUGCCUUUGGGAGAGCCAGCCCAGCCCCUCUGGCUAAGGCUGUUCCUGCCAACAGGUGGGCGCUGGUGCCAUUGGUUGUGAGCUGCUCAAAAUCUUUGCCCUAGUGGGACUGGGGGCCGGGAACAGCGGGGGCUUGACUGUUGUUGACAUGGACCACAUAGAGCGCUCCAAUCUCAGCCGUCAGUUCCUCUUCAGGUCCCAGGACGUUGGUGUGAGUGCUGACCCCUCUCCACACUCCUGCAUCCCAGACCGUCCUCCCAUACAGCUU
rnacentral:sRNA from 1 species